rnacentral:rRNA from 1 species
UUGAACGCUGGCGGCAGGCCUAACACAUGCCCGUCGAGCGGAUGAAGGGAGCUUGCUCCUGGAUUCAGCGGCGGACGGGUGAGUAAUGCCUAGGAAUCUGCCUGGUAGUGGGGGAUAACGUCCGGAAACGGGCGCUAAUACCGCAUACGUCCUGAGGGAGAAAGUGGGGGAUCUUCGGACCUCACGCUAUCAGAUGAGCCUAGGUCGGAUUAGCUAGUUGGUGGGGUAAAGGCCUACCAAGGCGACGAUCCGUAACUGGUCUGAGAGGAUGAUCAGUCACACUGGAACUGAGACACGGUCCAGACUCCUACGGGAGGCAGCAGUGGGGAAUAUUGGACAAUGGGCGAAAGCCUGAUCCAGCCAUGCCGCGUGUGUGAAGAAGGUCUUCGGAUUGUAAAGCACUUUAAGUUGGGAGGAAGGGCAGUAAGUUAAUACCCUGCUGUUUUGACGUUACCAACAGAAUAAGCACCGGCUAACUUCGUG